rnacentral:lncRNA from 1 species
UGAAUAAAUUGAAUUAUAAAUCUUUAAAAUUUAUCCUUGAUCUCACUUUAUUGAAUUCUUAUAUCAUUGUCAUCAUCCUCAUGCUUAUACUGUGGUGAAAGUCAUCUUUGGCCCGUAAUGCAUAGAUGGACUGUUGAUGGGUAUGAUUAUGAUCAGGAAUUAUGUAUCGGUAUAAUCAUGACCUGUAAUAUUACAAAUGAUGUGGUAAAAGUCCUCAUUGUCCCGUAGUGCAUUGAUGGACAUUUGUUUGGCAUGAUCAUAACCACUGGUGAUAAUAACGAAUAUCAUUGGCCUGUAGUGCAUGGAUAAUUCAGUGAUGUGGAUUAUUUAUUGAGAUGUGUUACAGAGAUAAAAUAUCGAUGAUAAACUUUUAAAUCAUAGAAGAUAGUAAACAUCAUGCUCUACUUGACU